UCAGAUUUUUCCAAUCAGUCUAAACUUAACCCCCAAAAUUUUCAUCUCCCACUCAAUCCUAUCGCUUCUUGCUUCCGUCUCCGCCGUCAUCUCUAUCGCUUCCAUCUCCGACGUCAUCUCUAUCGCUUCUUGCUUCCGUCUCCGCCGUCAUCUCUAUCGCUUCCAUCUCCGACGUCAUCUCUAUCGCUUCCAUCUCCGUCGAGUUCAGUUUCCGCUGUCAUUCUACUCCAUCGAUCUCCACCGUUUUACUCCUCCGACGUCUCCUCCAUCACGGAUCUGAACUUUUAACGAACACUUCCUGUAUCAGCCGCCACUUUGUCUCCUCCGGCAACGAGGUUCUUCUCAUAGGUAAUCAACAUCAAACCCUUCAACAAUUAAUGGUGACUAUAAAGUAUACUCAAAUUGCUGAGAUUUUAGGAGCUGUAAAUCCAUUUGAGAGUUGGUUCUUGAUAACAACCAUGAACCAUUUUAUGUGUUCUAAUGUGGAGAGCAGAAUAUUGAAUAGCUUCAUCAUGAUGCAGAAACAGGGGAAGUGUGAUUUCUUACCGAGGGAUAAUCAUAUUUACUCUUUAAAUCUAUAAACAGCAGCAUCGUAAUGAAGGAGAUGUUAGUGAGGGGUGUUGGUUGACUUGAUUUCUUGGACUCAAAAUCUGACGGAUUGAAGACGGUGGUGAAAGGGUGACUGUUCGAUGUAGAAAAUCAGUAUGCGGGUUGCGAAUGUUGUGUUCAUUAUUUUCUCAAAGGAUUUACAUGAUGUUGUGUUAUUGCCUCCUUUGUUGGUUGCUGAUUUUGGUAAUGAUAUCAAUCACUAUGCAACAUUGAUUGAUCCAUGUAACAAUCAAUUUGAUGUUGCGGUUGAAAAAGGAAAAGGUAGUAUAUAUGCUAAACCUAAGGAUUGUUCGCUUUGCGUGAUUUCUAUGAUAUCCGUUUCGGUGCUUGGAUCACUAUGGUAUAUGUUGGGUUGGAAGUUGGUCUACAAUGGUUUUUGUGAAUCUGCACUGGAUAAAAGGACCACGGCUUUGGUUUUGAUAGACGAUUGUGGCAACAAGUGGAACUGCACUCUUUUUUUAGGAUCUAUAUCGUACUGUCACAGGAAAAUUGCUGGUGAGUGGAAAAAGAUGAUAGCUGCGCACAGAAUUUGUGAAGUUGCACAAAUCAAGUCGGGUGCUCUGAUGGUUGGCAAAAAUGAAAUUGUUUACCUUGAAUUCAUCCCAAUUUUAUGUCUCUGCAUGCUACUGUUUUGUGUGCAGGUGACUUUUCAAGAAAUGAUUUCAUUUUUUUCAAAGUUGGUUGUGCCGGCACUAUCUAGGACUAUGUGAAGUAAACAUGAAGAAUAGAGCAAAUACAAGAAGAAUUUCUUUCGGAAAAUUUGUCCUACUGCUUAUUAAUUUACAUAUCCAGCAGGUGCUAACAACUUCAAAUAGGCACCAUGGUUGUUAGUAUAAUUAAAGGAUGGAUUUAAGGUGUUUCAAGCUUGGAGAAAUACUUUUCUUAGGAGUAGUGGUUUAUGAUGAUUGACUGUGGAGUAACUUUGAGAGUAGAAUUAGGAACUGAGCAGACAAAAAAAACCAUCAUUAAAGUUAGAAGUCCAUAAUUUGUCUCUCAAAGUUACGAUUUUUCUAACACAGUCAAACUAUAUAUCAAAAGUAAAACUUUCCAGGCUCACAGGCAGAACGGAAAGUAGAAGAUAAAAAACCAAAGCAUCAUGACAACAAUAGUGCCUAUUUGAUCUUUUGUUAGCAACCAUGCUUUAUGCAAAGGUGCAGGGCACAUGUAAAAGUGACGUUGCAUAAAAAUGACAAUGAGAAACAGUUCAACAAGCCUUUGAUAUCAUGAGUGAAAAAUGCGGUUGAAGUUUGAUCAAAGUUCCAAGAGUGUGGCAGCAGAUUUUGUCCUAAGAGAUAGAUUGUAUUAGUGAUAAUGUUUGGCAAUUGACAAGUGGUAUUAGAAACUCAAGAAAUGAGCUGAUAGAAGUAGUCAAGGAUUGUGUGUAGUGCUGCUAAAUUUGAGAGUUUGUAUGGCUAAAAUAUGUAAUUUAUACAUUGAGAAUAAGAAACAGAAAAAUUGUACUUGAUAUAAAUAAAUUUAGUGAGGCUCGAUCGUUUUUCUUUA